CGCCGCCCGCCUCUCCGCCGCGCCGCCGCCGCCCGCCUCUCCGCCGCGCCGCCGCCGACCGCCUCUCCGCCGCGCCGCCGCCGACCGCCUCUCCGCCGCUGUCCGCUUCUCCGCCACGCCGGCACCGGCGCUGUGUGCCUUUGCAAGGGCGGAGCUGCGUUCUCCUCGGCACAGACCCGGAGAGCAUUGCGAGGGCGGAGCUGCGUUCUGCUCUGCAUAGACCUUGGGGCACAGCCUCGCUUUGGGACAACUCGGGGCCGCAUCGACGGUGAAUAAAAUCCUUCCUGUUUGCCAUGUUUGUGGUUGGUGGCAGCGAUGGACACUGCAGCCAGCCAGAGUGUAGAAAGGCAUUGGGUGAAAGAAGAUUGCCACGGAGACAGACAGCAGCAUGGUCAGUGUGGUAGGAGCCGGCCAUCAGCAAGAGCUGCUCCAUGCCUGGCUGCUGGGAGCUAGAGCCUGCAGCCCACUGGCUUGCCUCACUGUAGUUGGUGGUGGCAGUGACAGAGACUGCAGCAUGACCAGAGUGGCUUUUCUGGCUUUGCCCGCCCAGCUGCUCCAUGCCAGGAGGAGGAGGAGACACCUAGAGCCUGCAACACCACGGCUCACCUCGCUGCGGGUGGGUGGCAGUGACGGAGACUGCAGUGCGCCAGAGCGGUAGGAGAGUGGCCACGCUAGGAGGGCGGGCGGCUGCAGGCAGGGUUGGGAGUCAGGCUUACAGUGAUGGACGGGCUGCAGCAGUGGCCAGGUAGUAGGAGCCUUGUAGGGAGGGCUGGUGCAUUGGCAAUGGGCCUGGCUUUGCCCUGUGCCUGCCGU
rnacentral:lncRNA from 1 species